AUUGAACGCUGGCGGCGUGCUUAACACAUGCAAGUCGAUCGGUAACAGGUGUAGCAAUACAUGCUGACGAGAGGCGGACGGGUGAGGAACGCUUGGGAAUCUGCCUAUCAGCGGGGGACAACCCGGGGAAACCCGGGCUAAUACCGCAUACGCUCUACGGAGGAAAGCCGGGGACCGCAAGGCCUGGCACUGAUAGAUGAGCACAAGUCGGAUUAGCUAGUUGGCGGGGUAACGGCCCCCCAAGGCGACGCUCCGUAGCUGGUCUGAGAGGACGAUCAGCCGCACCGGAACUAAGACACGGUCCGGACUCCUACGGGAGGCAGCAGUGGGGAAUAUUGGACAAUGGGCGAAAGCCUGAUCCAGCGACGCCGCGUGGGUGAAGAAGGCCUGCGGGUUGUAAAGCCCUUUCGGUAGGGACGAAAGCUCUCGACCUAACACGCCGGGAGGUUGACUUAACCUACAAAAGAAGCACCGGCUAACUCUGUGCCAGCAGCCGCCGUAAAAC
rnacentral:rRNA from 1 species